CAUGGGGAGGUGAUUCCUCCCUUCCUUUGGCGUCGGACUCCUUUGAUGGAGCCUUCCCGUGGCUUGUGCCCAUUUCCAUCUCCCUCUUGGCGGAUCCUCCUGACAUCACUUCGAGUGGUUAGGUUCUAAUGAAGUAUCGAGCUCCGAUACCAAUUGAAAGUCGCCUAGAGCGGGGGGUGGAUAGGUGGAAACUGAAAUUUACAAGACUUUAAACACAAUACAAGUCGGGAUUAGCGUUAGAACAAAUGUCAAGUCCGGGAGAGAGGGGAAAACAAAUCAACCAAGAAAAUAAAGUGAAUGACACGGUGAUUUGUUUUACCGAGGUUCGGUUCUAAAGAACCUAGUCCCCAUUGAGGUGAUCACAAAGACCGGGUCUCUUUCAACCAUUUACCUCUCUCAAACGUUCACUUAGACCGAGUGAGCUUUCUCCUUAAUCAAACGGGUCACUUAGACCCUACAAGGACCACCACACACUUGUGUCUCUUGCUUUGAUUACAAGUCACUUAGAGAACAAGAAUGAGGAAGAAGAAAGCCAACCAAGCAACAAGAGCAACAAAGAAACACAAGAACGAUCCUCUCACAAGUCCUAAAGACUAAAAUUGAAUUGGGACUUUGAUCGGAUCGAUGGCUUUGAUUUGUGUCUUGGAGUGUUGUGUUUUGCUCUUGUAUUGAAUGGAGUGUGAUGAAUGCUUGGAUGGUUGGAGUGGAGGUGGUUGUAGGGUAUUUAUAGCCCCCAACCACCAAAACAACCGUUGGGGGUGGCUGCUGUCGAUGGGCGUACCGGACAGUCCGGUGCGCCAGCCACGUCACCCAACCGUUAGGGUUCUGACGCAGCCGACCGUUGGAGCGCUGACUUCUACUAGCACCGGACAGUCUGGUGCCGCACCGGACAGGCACUGUUCACUGUCCGGUGCGCCUCUGACCUCUGCUCUGACUUCUGCCGCGAACUAUAGCUCUGUCAAGGGCACUGUGCAGUCGACCGUUGCACUGGAGAGUCGUUGCUCCGCUGGUGCAUCAGACAGUCUGGUGCGCCUCUGACCUCUGCUCUGACUUCUGCCGCGAACUAUAGCUCUGUCAAGGGCACUGUGCAGUCGACCGUUGCGCUGGAGAGUCGUUGCUCCGCUAGUGCAUCAGACAGUCCGGUGAAUUAUAGCGGAGUGACGCCUGAGAAACCCGAAUGAAGAGUUCGGAGUGGUACGGCCCUAGCACACAGGACAGUCCGGUGGCAUAGCGGACAGUCCGGUGCGCCAGACGAGGGCACACUUCGAUUUCUUUUACUACUUUUUUUGAACCCUAACUUGAUCUUUUUAUUGGUUUGUGUUAAACCUUUAUGCACCUAUAGAAUAUAUAAUCUAGAGCAAGCUAGUUAGUUCAAUUAUUUGUGUUGGUCAUGCAACCACCAAAAUUAUUUAUAGGAAAAGGUUUAAACCAUAUUUCCCUUUCAAGUAUCACAACAAUUUCGGGUGCUACAGCUUUGUGCCCCGUUCUGAUGUAGAUAGGUUGUAAGACAUGCCAUAUCAAAUUUAUGGUGGUGUGAAAGAAUAAGAAAUGGAGAGAGAAGGAAAGCGGGUUGUUCACUAAUAGACAACUAAAAGCGGAGUGCCCAUAGAAUCCAACACAAUUUGUUAGAGGAACAGAUAGUGGCAGACCUAUGUGGGGGCAAGCUUGGGCUCUUGCCCAGGCUCCUUUAUUAGUGCUAAUGAACCUAUACACAUAUAGCAAGAAGUAAAAUACAGUUAAACGUGGAUAAAAAUUAGUUAAAGCUAUAGAUUUACAGUAUAAGCAUUAUUUUUGCCUAGGUUCUCGAAAGUUUCUAGGUUCGUCAGUGAGAACAUAUGUGUAUCAAAUAUUAAAUAUACAAAUUAUAUUAUUGUAUGACUAAGCUUUAAAUUUACACUAUAUAACAUGACAUCGUUAUAAAGCUCGUGUGCUAUAUUACUAUCUUUGCUUUUACCGGACGGAGUUUUUUUUUUGCACGAGCUUCGAGAAUGCUGGUGUCGGUAGUGAAACUGAAGCGGUUCUUCACUUCGCGUGGGACCUUCUAGCACUGCUCGAUACUACUGUUGCUUGCGUAGGGGGGCCACCAUGCCAGCGAACCAGUUUCGUGUCCUUAUUGUUUUAUCGCGUCAAAAGAAUAAGCAUAGCAAUAAGCUCACCGUCCUUUUUAACCGUGGUGCUCGUUUCUGAAAAAAAAAUCAAAUAUAUUCAACACUAAUCAAAUAUAAAAAAAUACAAACAUUUAUAAAACAUAAUAACGUCAUUAGAUAAAUCACUAGAAUCUAUUUGUUAUAAUAAAUUUAUUUAAAGAUAUAAAUAUUAUUAGUAUAUUUUUUUGUAAAUCAAAUAAAUCUUUUGCUCACUGCUAAUAUUAGUCUGACUGAAGAGACAAAAUCAGAACUGCAGCCUUCUUUACAAUAUAUACAAGGCAUGUGUACUGUUCAUUCUUGUUACAAAUCCUCCUCCGAAAUAAUCUUUCGUCUUCUUGGUUGAACCGAUGGCUUAACACUACACACGGUUUUCUUCAUCAUCAGACGCUUGUGCGUGCGUCGGUUGGAAACGGAAACGGAAACGGAGUACAGUAUAUCUUGGGUGUUUGAAGCGAUUGGUGCGCAGUGCACUGCAGUGAUUUUGGACAGUAUCUUGUGCAUCCACAGCCUGACUUUUUGUACAGUGCUGCACCUGCCUGGGCGCCGCGCCGACGGACAAGUCGAGUAGGCAGCACACAAACACAUGCAUGGUCUGUUCCUGCCUGCAGCUGAAGCUGCAUAUCUUGGAUGAUCUGCUUCUUAGGCAGUUGCUUUGCUUUGGGGCCUGUGCAUGCUGUGCAACACAUCACCUGAUCAAAUAACUGUCGUCCAAUCAUGAUGGUCCCAUGUAUCUUCUGAACAGAUAGAUUGUCGUGAAGUUGCGAUGCAGGUUCCUCGUCGCCCCUGGUGUACAAUUAUCGAUCGAGCGAGGUAGGUUGCCAUCCACCCUCCUGACAGGCAAUCAUCGCGCGCGAUUCUGUCCCGUGCUUUAAUUUGCAACUGUUUGGCCGGUUGAUGUUCGGAUUCGUUCUCGACUGUCGUGUUUGUCAGAUUCUGUUUGUGUUCGAUUGUAAUGAUAAGACGAAAUAGAAUGUGACGAUCCCUUAGAUUUAGAUUAAUUACGUUGUUUGAUUCAGGGUCAAUUAAGGUUUCAAACAGUACUAUUCUAGUGUCAUUCUCAGUUGUCUGUUAAAUUUGACGGACAAGAGUGGACUAUCCUAAAGUAAGCUGCAAAGAUACUAACUCCAUCAUGGCAGGUUAGGAGCGAAGCAGGUUGGCAUGUUGGGUGCGUCAUGGUCAUGGUCCGAAAGAUGUCCACCAAAAACCCACACAUCUCCGAUCCCACAACAAAAACAUGCAGCGAAGAAACAGUCCAGGUCCAGAGCCAUCUUGAAGUGAUCAGCGAAAACUUGGACCCUAUAACAAGGAUAAAAUGCAACUAAUAAGGCCCCGUUUAAAAUCCUUUCAAUUAAGUUACAUUGUAAUAAUCAUAAUUUAAGCACAGAUUAAUAUGAUUUCAUGCUGAAUAUCUAUAUAUACGUUAGUUUAGCUAAGAGAAUGUCUGAAAUCAUUUUAUUACUGUUUUGCUAAGUGUUUCUAAAAAAACAAAUUUAAAAUUAAUUUAAGACCAUUUAACUUGCUUAACAAAAAAGUUAGUAGUUUAGUAAUACUCUUAUUUGGCACUAAAAUUUUUUUAGCCACAGAAGAUAAGAAAUGAAUUAAGGACAAAAAUAUUAAACUUUUUUUGUAGUUUAUAUUUUUAGUAAUUAAGUUGCUGCUCUUAAAAUUAUAUAAAAGGUAUAACAAAUAUAAUAUCUAGGCAUUGAUUUUUAUGUAAAAUUAUACAAAUAUAAUUUCAUACGAAGUUAAACGUCACCCUACUCCUAUAAAUAAGGGUACAAUGCCCAUGCAGAGGGUCAUCUUUCUGAUAAUUCACGUGCUCGCACCCUAUUAAAACGCUCUGGCUCCGAAGCUGCUGAAACGAGCGCAUCUUGGACACCAGCACAAAUUUUGAAGGUGCUACCUUUUUGUCACUCCACAAUCGCAUGGAUAAAUUAUAAAAGGUUAGUGUUUACCCUUUAUCUUAUCCCAUGUGUCUCCUACAUCUGCUUGGCCUUCUUCCCUUGAUUCCCCUUCAUCUUUACACAAAUGGGCAAGGGGAAGUGGUUUUGUUACAUCCCAAUUUUUUCUGAAACUAAAAAUCAAUAAUAAUAAUAAUAAUAAUAAUAAUAAUAAUAAUAAUAAUAAUAAUAAUAAUAAUAAAUAACUUUCAAAAUAAACUCGAUUUAAAUUGUCAUAGUACUUUCAGAAAAUAAUAUAUAAAUAAAUAUUUCCCUAACUAGAGCUAAACUAUAUAUAUACAAUCUUGAAGGUAUUUUGUGACGCUUUGGCAAACCAUAAAGUUUACUUACUCGUCUAUUUAAUUAUGCAAUUAUUUUCGGUAAACCAAAUUGUGGAGAAAGAAAAAGAAAUUAGCGAUUAACUGAACUCUAGAAAAAAUAAGUUAUUAAGGGCUAGUUUAGAAACCAUAAUUUUCUAAAUGAUUUUCAUUUUCUAAAGAAAAAUUAGUUUAUUUUCUCUUAGAAAAAUAGGAAUUUAUUGGGAAAAUAGUGAUCACAAACUAACCCUAAGUAAUCGACUUAUUUGGGAGGUUAACCAAAAAAAUACGUUAAAAUUAAUCGAGCUCUACAGUCCACACAUCCUAAUUUGCGGCAAGCCUGCCUCGGCGUGUCGCAUCGCCAAGAUUUUCAACGCAAAAGCUGAACAGCCUGUGUCCCAUAGGGCGUGUUCGGCUGGCUACAAGCCGACACUGUUACAGCUGUUUGGACUGCUGCAGCUGCAAUUCAUAGAGAGAAAAAUACUGUAGAAGCCGCAGCCGCAGCCGGAUUGCAGCCGCAGCAAGCCGCAGCGAACAAGCUGAUAAAUAGCAGCGUGGUCAGCACAAUCGAGCAUGCCAUGGCUACACUGCAGCUCGAGCUUUUCCCCGUGUCUUUACCUGAGUCCGUGCACCUCGCCGUAGUCAAAACUGACACCUCCGCUGCCACCACACCACAUGCGACUAAGGCUAGCUCCAGCAAUACACCCUAAAGGGUUCUGUACCCUAAAUAUAGAGGACCAAAUGGUUCUCUACGCUCUCCAGCAGCGUUCUCUAAACGAUUCUCUAAAUUUAGAGGACACUGCUGGAUUCUCUAUAUAUAGAGUUUCUCUAAACGGUCCUCUAUCCAUUUGAAUACUUUAAAUUAUCGGUUUAGCAAAACUAAAAUAUGUACAAUACAUUUGAGAGCAUGACAAAUACGUAUGUAUAAAAAAUAAAAAUAAAAAAUGUCUCUAAUAUAUAUAUUUGAGUAUAGAGGACGUGAUUUAGAGGACGUUGUUGGAGAGAAAUGAGAUAUAGGGGAUAGAAUCUUUUAGAGAAGACUGUAAAGUACGGAUAUAGAGGAUGGAUAUAGAGGACGUUGCUGGAGACAGCCUUACUGUCCGACAUGAGGUAGCAUCGUUGUUGGGGCUUCUUUCAAAAUUCCUCAAAAACACAUCUAACAAUUGAUUAUUAGCACAUUCUUAGAUAUUGCAGGAGCUACUGUGUUAAAGUGGUUCGGUGCUGAAUACCUUCGAAGCAGAAUAAGAAGGAAGACAUGUUACCUUCAUUAUAACAACACAAGAAAACGAAGGCAGAAGCAAAACAAGGCCAGGAGAAGGUGUUUACAAGAUUCUAGCCAAAACAAAAAACGGCAAAAUACGAUAUUGCCCUUACAUCGUUUGUAGACUGCAUAUAUAGGUUUUAUGGACACGUUUGUAACUUCACACGAAGUUGUACCUCUGCACUAUAAAUAUAUAAACAGUGUCCUGCAUAAAGUACCUUUUUGGAGCCAAGGGGAACAGGUCUGCAUAAUCCUUUCUUCGAAGCACGUUCGGGUUCCUCUCUCGUCAUUAAGCCGAAGGUACUAUUGUAAAUUUGUUUCAUACGGAGAAAGGAAGCCCCGAGUUAUUUAAGAUGAGUUAUCUUAUCUAGCUUCGUUACAACCCUAUAUGUAAUCUUCAUGUUCAUCUUCUGCCAAUCUUAUAAAUUAUGUGUGAUAACCUUCGUACUUAGAGUGUGAUGUCCUGAAGGACAAACGACUCUAGUAUGAAGAAUAAUACCUUUUUAAUACUGUGUUGCCUCGUUUUUUAUUGUGUACAGUAAUUGAAAACGAGUGACCAACAGGCGCCCACCUCCGAUGAACUCAUUCACGACCACAACACCUUCGUCAUGCCGCCAAAGAAGACAACGGUGUCUGGUUCCAUCCUCGCACCCCUGGAUACAAAUCAAGAUGGAAUUCUCCUGAGAGAAGCACGAACCCAAAAAGAAAAGCCGUCGGUCUAACUCCACAAGAUGACAAGUUGGAUCAGGAAAUCAGCAAUCUCGAAGCCAUUCAUCAACAAGUGGAGAAAAGAAAAGAUGCUUCGGCUUUCUGAGUUGCAGAAGAAGAUUGACAAAGAAGCUGAAGAAAUGCAAAACAUUUCGCAUGAUACUGAGCAACAAGGGUAUCACCAACAUCAGAAAAGACCUUCGACAUGGAGGCCCAAACCAUGAGGACAUGUGGUACGAAGCUUUCAAUCACGACAACUUUCCUUAUGAUGAUGCUUCUCCUUUAGCUACAGAGCUGCAGGCAGUACCAUGGACACCUUCAUACAAGCUACCUCAAUUACCCAUGUAUGAUGGUCACUCUGAUCCGAAGCAAUUCCUCAUGAGUUACGAAGCAACAAUAACAUCAUAUGGAGGCAACACGACUGUCAUGGCCAAGUCCUUCGUCAUGGCAGUAAGGAGUGUCGCUCAGACCUGAUAUUCUUCUCUUCGACUAGAGACAAUAACUUCUUGGCAGAAACUAAAGGUAUGUUGAUUACAAGUUUUCAAGGAUUUCAAAUGAAGCCAGUCACAUCUCAGGCUCUCUUCUAGUGCACACAAGAUCACGAAGAGUAUCUGUAAGCUUAUGUCCAAAGGUUUCAACGGCUUCGAGCCCAAGCAUCUACAGUGCCCAAUGAGAUUGUCAUUGAGGCCAUCAUUAAGGGGCUUCGUCCAGGACCAACAACACAAUAUUUUGCUAGAAAACUCCCUCAGACCUUAGAGAAGCGCUUACCGAAAAUGGAUGAAUACAUUAGGGCAGACAAUGAUUUUUGACAAAGGAAAGAAGAGGCCUUCAGAUAUUCAAAAUGACAAGGGGCUUUAGCGGACGAUUUAAUCCAAGGCAUGUCAGGACCAUCCAUAAUCCAAGUCAAAAUGAAGACAAAAACAACCAUACUCAAGGACAGCAAAAUCACUCUCAAUCAACAGGAACUCAGCAGAGUACCUUCAGAGCACCAGCUCCAAGAGGUGGAAGAGGAGGAAGAAGUUUUGGAGGGAGAUUCAACUUCCAACCAAGGAAAUUAUUCUGUCUAUUCCAUGGAGAGGACAGGGGGCAUACAACAAGAACAUGCCAAGUCACAAUCCAAAAGCAAAAGGAAAUCGCCAAAGUUGAAGCCCAACAUAAUCAGCCGAAGUAGGACCUUCAUACCGCUUCGUAUUAUUCCCCAUACAUCCCAGAGUAUGUUCGCAAUCAGCAGCCAGGUCCACAAUCUUCAGCUUCGGUAGCUUCAACAAGUCAUUCUUCGGCCCAAUGGAUCCUACCUCAACCACCCAUGCAAGCACCGCCUUCGCCAUAUAACCAGCAAUAUUGAGGGCAAUUCCAAGUCCAGCCACAGUUUCCCAUACAAGAUAUACUACUAUGUGAUGCAAGGGAGCAAUCUAAAGCUAGAACAGUAAACAACAUUGUACCAAAGUCCAAGCAUAUCUACUAAAGCGCCUGAGGGGCUGGAUUAAGCAUCGAAAAUUGUCCCAAAAAUCUAUUGUAAUUUCUAUUUUCUUUUCUUUAUGUUUGUUUCAAAGAUACUCUAAGAAGGUAUAACCUUCGACACUUUGUAAUAAAUCUGAGGUUACACCAUCGAGUGUAACAAAAACACCUAGUAAAGGUAUAAAAGCUCCAAAGUCAUUCCUAAGGGGAUGCAGAGCUCAAAUGAAACACCUAGUAAAGGUGUAAAAGCUCUAAAGUCGUUCCUAAGGGGGUGUAGAGCUCAAAUGAAACACCUAGUAAAGGUGUAAAAGGUCUGAAGUCAUUCCUAUGGGGAACAUAGAAUAUCUAAACAUCGUGCUACUAAAGUAUCUCAAUUUGAUCUUGUUUAUGAGCAGGAAGCAGUGUUGAAAGGGAAAUGUGCCCUUGGACAAUUUCUAUUAUGUUUUGGUGAUUAAGUGCCCACACAUUUAAAUAAGUUCUUAUGUGCUAAAUAAAGAGAGAAGUGCAAAUCAAAGAGAAGGUAUGUUUCUAGACUUAGUACAUAGUUUUUAAGUACUAAUAUGUUUUAUCUAAAUGCUAGAAACAGUGAGAAGAAAAGAAGAAAAGAAUUGCAAAUGACUUGGCUUGGUGCAGCCAAAGUCCAGCUCGGUCUGGCACACCGGACUGUCCGGUGCGCCUGGCUGGCUUUCGGUGAACAGGCCACUCUCGGGAAAAAUUAGCGGCGUACGGCUAUAAUUCACCGGACUGUCCGGUGGUGCACCGGACUGUCCGGUGAGCCAACGGUCGCCAGCGCAACGGUCGGUCGCGCAAUCCGCAGGCGACGCGUGGCCCGUGCCAACGGUCGGCAGGGGGCACCGGACUGUCCGGUGUGCACUGGACAGUGUCAGGUGCGCCAACUGCCACGAAUCUGCAACGGUCGUCUACGCCAGAAAAGGAAGGAGAUCUGCACCAAACCGUCUACAAUGACUGUCUAGUGGCGCACCGGACUGUUCGGUGCGCCACUCGACAGAAGGCAAGUAUGGCCUUCCUUGUUGGUCUCCAACGGCUCCUAGCUGCCUUGGGGCUAUAAAAGGGACCCCUAGGCGCAUGGAGGAGUCACCCAAGCUUACAAGAAACAUUCUAAGACUCCAAGACUCCAACUUCGCGCAUUUGAUUCUUUGAGAUAGUGACUUGAGCUCCAUUUGAGUUGUGAACUCCGUGGGUUGUGUUUUGAGCCCAAGUUGUGACUUGUGUGUGUGAUUGUGUUGUGAUUUGAGUCUUGUGUGUGUUGCUCUCCCCUCCCUUACUUCUGUGCUUCUUUUGUGAUCAUCAUUGUAAGGGCGAGAGGCUCCAAGUUGUGGAGAUUCCUCGCAAACGGGAAAAAGACUAAGAAACAAAAAACCGUGGUAUUCAAGUUGAUCAUCGGAUCACUUGAAAGGGGUUGAGUGCAACCCUCGUCCAUUGGGACGCCACAACGUGGAAGUAGGCAAGUGUUACUUGGCCGAACCACGGGAUAAAAAUCAUGUGUCUCUUGUGUGCUUUCUCUUUGAUUGUCUGUGUCCACAAGAGCUCGUUUCAAGCUACUUAGCCAUUCUAACUUUAAUAACUAAGUUUUGUGGCUAUUAGUGUUGAAUUUUACAGGAUCACCUAUUCACCCCCCUCUAGGUGCUCUCAAUUGGUAUUAGAGUCGUUCUCUUCAUCUAAGGGACUAAUCGCCCGAAGAGAUGGAUCCUAAGGGAAAGGGGAUGGUGGUCAAUGACAAGGAGAAAGUCCCUCUUCAACGAGCCAAGGGACGACAAGCCCACUGACUCAGGAUCGAGUCACAAGAAGAGGGACAGGAAGAAGAAGAGGCGGAUCAAUAAGAUCAUUUACUACGACAGCGACGCCUCCUCUUCUUCACCAAGAGACGACGAUGACGAUGACUUGUCUAAAAAGAAACCGGUUAAUCAAAACUAUUCAUUUGAUUAUUCUCGUAUUCUGUUCAAUUCCAAUGCUCAUUUGCUUUCAAUUCCUCUUGGUAAACCUCCACACUUUGAUGGAGAAGACUACUCUUUUUGGAGUCACAAAAUGCGUAGUCACUUAUUUUCUCUCCAUCCUAGUAUUUGGGAGAUAGUUGAAAAUGGAAUGCAUUUCGACAGUACGGAUAACCCUGUGUUUAUUAAUGAGCAAAUUCAUAAGAAUGCACAAGCUACCACUGUUUUGCUAGCAUCUUUGUGCAAGGAUGAAUACAACAAGGUGAGCGGCUUGGACAACGCCAAGAAAAUUUGGGAUACCCUCAAGAUAUCACAUGAGGGAAACGACGCCACCAUGAUCACCAAGAUGGAGUUGGUGGAAGGCGAGCUAGGAAGAUUCGCGAUGAUCAGGGGAGAGGAGCCAACACAAACAUACAACAGGCUCAAGACCCUGGUCAACAAAAUUAGAAGCUAUGGAAGCACAAGAUGGACGGACCACGACGUCGUUCGACUAAUGCUAAGGUCAUUUACGGUAAUUGACCCCCAUCUUGUCAACCUUAUUCGUGAGAAUCCCAGGUACACCAAGAUGACGCCCGAGGAGAUUCUUGGGGAGUUUGUGAGCGGGCGCAUGAUGGUGAAAGAGGCUCGAUAUGUGGACGAUGCUCUAAACGGACCACUAACUGUCCACGAGCCUCAAACCAUUGCCCUCAAAGCAACCAGCAGUAGGGAGACGCUACUAAGCAAGGUGGCUCAAGUGGAGGCCGCUGGCCUCAAUGAAGAUGAGAUGGCGCUUAUCAUCAAGCGCUUCAAGACUGCUCUUAAAGGACGCAAGGAGUACCCCAACAAGAACAAAACAAGGGGAAAGCGCUCCUGCUUCAAAUGCGGUAAGACUGGUCACUUUAUAGCAAAUUGUCCCGAUAAUGAUAGUGACCAGGGACAAGAAAAUAGCGGGAAGAAGGAGAAGAAAAAGAGCUACAGGAAGGCAAAGGGCGAGGCACACCUCGGAAAGGAAUGGGACUUGGACUGCUCUUCCUCCGACGACGAAGGACUCGCUGCCUCGGCCUUCAACAAGUCCUCUCUCUUCCCCAACGAACGCCACACUUGCCUCAUGGCCAAGUAGAAGAAGGUAAGUGUUCGAGAUACCCCUAAGUACACUACUUCUAGCGAUGAUGAUUCUAGUGAUGAUGAAGUAGAUUAUACUAAUUUAUUUAAGGGUUUAGAUAGAACUAAAGUAGAUAAAAUCAAUGAGUUAAUUGAUACUUUAAAUGAAAAAGAUAGAUUGCUAGAGAAGCAAGAGGAUAUUUUAUAUGAGGAGCAUGAUAAGUUUGUUAGUGUGCAAAAAUCUCUUGCUUUAGAAACUAAGAGAAAUGAAAUGCUAUCUUCUGAGUUAUCUACUUGCCCUGAAUCUAUCUCUAGUUUAAAGAUUUUGAAUGAUGAUUUAAAUGCUAAGCUAGAGGUAGCUAAUAAAUCUAGUCCAUGUGUAGGACAUGUUGUAAUCUGCAAUAGAUGCAAGGAUUUUGAUAUUGAUGCUUAUGAUGAACAUCUUGCGUCUAUUACCAAAUUAAAUGAUGAGGUGGCAAGUCUUAAUGCUCAACUUAAGACUUGCAAGGUUGAUUUUAAUAAGUUAAAAUUUGCUAGGGUCGCCUACACCGUUGGUAGACACCCCUCAAUUAAGGAUGGACUUGACUUUCGAAAGGAAGCUAAGAACUUAACAAGCAAAGGGCUCCCAUUCCCAACAAGGAGAAAGGAAAGGCCCCUAUGGCUAGUAGUACUCAAAGGAAUCAUGCUUUCAUUUAUAAUGAUAGAAAAUUUUCUAGGAAUGCUCAUUAUAAUAGGAGUUAUGAUGCGUUUAAUUCACAUGAUAUGUUUGCUUCUAGCUCUACUUUUGUGCAUGGUAGAAGUAAGCCUAGGAGAAAUCAUGUUGUGCAUCAUGUGCCUAGGAGAGUAUGUAAUGAACCUUCUACUAUUUACCAUGCUUGCAAUACUUCUUUUGCAAUUUUUUGUAAGAAUGAAAAAGUAGUUGCUAGGAAGUUGGGAUCCAAAUGCAAGGGAGAUAAGACUUGUAUUUGGGUUCCAAAGGCUAUUGUGACUAACCUUGUAGGACCCAACAAGAGUUGGGUACCUAAAACCCAAGUGUAAAUUACUUUGCAGGUUUAUGCAUCCGGGGCUCAAGCUGGAUUAUCGACAGCGGAUGCACAAACCACAUGACGGGGGAGAAGAAGAUGUUCACCUCCUACGUCAAGAACAAGGAUUCCCAGGACUCAAUCAUCUUUGGAGAUGGGAACCAAGGCAAGGUUAAAGGAUUGGGAAAGAUAGUCAUUACAUCCGAGCAUUCUCUUUACAAAUAUCAAUGUGUUCUUAGUUGAAUCGCUUGGGUACAACUUACUGUCUGUGAGUCAAUUAUGUAACAUGGGUUAUAAUUGUCUAUUUACAAAUAUAGAUGUUUCUGUCUUUAGAAGGAGUGAUGGUUCAUUAGCGUUUAAGGGUGUAUUAGACGACAAACUCUACUUAGUUAAUUUUUCGAAAGAGGAGGCCGAUCUAGAUGCAUGCUUAAUAGCUAAGACUAGCAUGGGCUGGCUGUGGCAUCGCCGUCUAGCACAUGUUGGGAUGAAGAAUCUUCAUGAACUUCUAAAGGGAGAACAUGUGUUAGGACUAACCAAUGUCUGCUUCGAGAAAGAUAGACCUUGUGCAGCUUGUCAGGCAGGGAAACAGGUGGGAAGCACUAAUCACAGCAAGAAUGUGAUGACAACAUCAAGACCACUGGAGCUUCUUCACAUGGACCUCUUCGGACCCGUCGCCUACCUUAGCAUCGGGGGAAGUAAGUAUGGUCUUGUAAUUGUAGAUGACUUUUCUCGCUUCACUUGGGUGUUCUUUUUGCAGGAUAAAUCAGAAACCCAAGGGACCCUAAAUCGCUUUCUAAGGAGAGCUCAAAACGAAUUUGAGCUCAAGGUGAAAAGAUAAGAAGCGACAACGGGUCCGAGUUCAAAAAUCUUCAAGUGGAGGAGUAUCUUGAGGAGGAAGGUGUCAAGCAUGAGUUCUCCGCUCCCUACACACCACAACAAAAUGGUGUGGUAGAGAGGAAGAACAUGACGCUUAUCGAUAUGGCGAGGACGAUGCUUGGAGAGUUCAAGAUGCCCGAGCGGUUUUGAUCGGAAGCUGUGAACACAGCUUACCACGCCAUAAACCGGCUCUAUCUGCAUCGUCUCCUCAAGAAGACCUCCUACGAACUCCUUACCGGUAACAAACCCAAUGUCUCUUACUUUCGUGUAUUUGGGAGCAAAUGCUACAUUUUGGUGAAGAAAGGUAGACAUUCCAAAUUUGCUCCCAAAGCUGUAGAAGGGGUUUUACUAGGGUAUGACUCAAAUACAAAGGCGUAUAGAGUCUUCAACAAAUCAUCGGGUUUGGUUGAAGUCUCUAGCGACGUUGUAUUUGAUGAGACUAAUGGCUCUCCAAGAGAGCAAGUUGAUCUUGAUGACAUAGAUGAAGAUGAUGUUCCAACGGCCGCAAUACACACCAUGGCAAUUGAAGAUGUGCGACCACAAGAACAACAAGAGCAAGAUCAACCUUCUUCCUCAACGAUGGUGCAUCCCCCAACUCAAGAUGAUGAACAGGUUCCUCAAGAAGAGGCACGUGAUCAAGGGGGAGCACAAGAAGAACAAGUUAUGGAGGAAGAAGCACCACUGGCCCCUCCAACUCAAGUCCAAGCGACGAUCCAAAGAAAUCACCCCGUCGAUCAGAUUCUGGCUGACAUAAGCAAGGGAGUAACAACUCGCUCACGUUUAGCCAAUUUUUGUGAGCCUUGUUUGUCUCUUCUAUUGAGCCUUUCAUGGUAGAAGAGGCCUUGCAAGAUCCGGACUAGGUGUUGGCCAUGUAGGAAGAGCUCAACAACUUCAAGAAGAACAAAGUUUGGAGCCUGGUACCACGUCCCAAGCAAAAUGUUGUGGGAACCAAGUGGAUGUUCCGCAACAAGCAAGACGAGCACGGGGUGGUGACAAGAAACAAGGCUCGACUUGUGGCAAAAGGUUAUGCCCAAGUCGCAGGUUUGGAUUUCAAGGAGACUUUUGCUCCUGUGGCUAGGCUAGAGUCUAUUAGAAUAUUAUUAGCCUAUGCCACUCACCACUCUUUCAGGUUGUUUCAAAUGGAUGUGAAGAGCGCUUUCCUCAACGGGCCGAUCAAGGAGGAGGUGUAUGUGGAACAACCCCCUGGCUUUGAGGAUGACAGUGAAGCAACUCAAGGAUGGCACCUUCCUCUCCCAAACGAAGUACACACAAGAUCUUCUCAAGUGGUUUGGGAUGAAGGACGCCAAGCCCGCAAAGACACCAAUGGGAACCGACGGACAUGUCGACCUCAACAAAGGAGGUAAGUCCGUUGAUCAAAAGGCAUACCGGUCUAUGAUAGGGUCAUUACUUUAUUUAUGUGCUAGUAGACCGGAUAUUAUGCUUAGUGUAUGCAUGUGUGCUAGAUUUCAAUCCGACCCUAAGGAAUGUCACCUUGUGGCCGUUAAGCGGAUUCUUAGAUAUUUAGUUUCUACGCCCUUGCUUCGGGAUCUGGUAUCCAAAGGGGUCUACCUUUGACUUAAUUGAAUAUUUAGACUCCGAUUAUGCUGGAUGCAACGUUGAUAGGAAGAGUACAUCAGGGGCGUGCCAAUUACUAGGAAGGUCCCUGGUGUCUUGGAGUUCAAAGAAACAAACCUCCAUUGCCAUAUCCACCGUUGAGGCCAAGUAUGUUGCCGUAGGACAGUGUUGCGCGCAACUACUUUGGAUGAGGCAAACCCUCCGGGACUUUGGCUACAAUCUGAGCAAAGUCCCACUCCUAUGUGACAAUGAGAGUGCAAUCCACAUGGCGGAUAAUCCUGUUGAACACAGCCGCACUAAGCACAUAGACAUCCGGCAUCACUUUCUGAGAGACCACUAGCAAAAGGGAGAUAUCGAGGUUUUCCAUAUUAGCACCGAGAACCAGCUAGCCGAUAUCUUUACCAAGCCGUUAGAUGAGAAAACCUUUUGUAGGCUGCGUAGUGAGCUAAAUGUCUUAGAUUCACGUAACUUGGAUUGAUCUAUAACAUACAUGUGUUUUAUGCCUUUGAUCAUGUUACUUAUACAUUAAUGCAAUUUGUUGCUUAUUUAUGGUGCUCAAGUUGUGCAAGGGAUCCCCGAACCUCAAAAGUCCAUGUGUGAAUGAUGCACAUAUUUAGGGAGAGAUGUGCCACAACUUGACCCUCUGAGACUAACCUUUGUGUUUAAGUGUACUAGAUGUAGUCUUAAAGGUGCAUUGAAAGGGAAAAGGUGAACUUGGACCAUGCAAAGACUUCCACUGCACUCCGGUAUUAGUGUACUCACCUCCAAGUUCAUUCUUAUGCUCUUAUUGCCUUUUUGCUCUUAAUUGACAUUUUUUAUGAGGCAAUGGGGUUAAUGGGCCAAAAAUGAUCCUGUUUUGGUGCUUGAUGCCAAAGGGGGAGAAAUUAAGGCCAAAGCAAAUAGAUCAGCUACCACGUGAGAAUUUUGAAAGUAGUAGAGUUAGAAUUUUUUAUUUGUCCAAAAUACUCUUAUUGCAAAAUUUGGUCUCUUGUGGGGGAGAAUUUAUGAUUAUGGGAAAAGGGGGAGUUUUUGGCACUUGAUCAAUUUUCCAUUGGAAUAUCUCUCUGUGCCUAAACAAGUGUGUUUGACUUAGAGAUAGGAAAAUGAUUUUGAUUUGCAAAAACAAACCAAGUGGUGGCAAAGAAUGAUCCAAAUAUGUCAAAAUUUGUACAAACGCAAUUUUGUUCUCAAUUGCAUUGAUGUUGCACUUCUUUUGGUCGCUUUUGGAUGUGUUGGCAUAAAUCACCAAAAAGGGGGAGAUUCAAAGGGAAAUGUGCCCUUGGGCAAUUUCUAUUAUGUUUUGGUAAUUAAGUGUCCAACACAUUUAAAUAAGUUCUUAUGUGCUAAAUAAAGACAGAAGUGCAAAUCAAAGAGAAGGUAUGUUUCUAGACUUAGUACAUAGUUUUUAAGUACUAAUAUGUUUUAUCUAAGUGCUAGAAACAGUGAGAAGAAAAGAAUUGCAAAUGACUUGGCUUGGUGCAGCCAAAGUCCAGCUCGGUCUAGCACACCGGACAGUGUCCGGUGCGCCUGCCUGGUUUUCGGUGAACAGGCCACUCUUAGGAAAAAACAGCGGCGUACGGCUAUAAUUCACCGGACUGUCCGGUGGUGCAUCGGACUGUCCGGUGAGCCAACAGUCGCCAGCGCAACGGCCAGCUGCGCAAUCCGCGGGCGACGCGUGGCCCGCGCCAACGGUCGGCAGGGGGCACCAGACUGUUCGGUGUGCACCGGACAGUGUCCGGUGCGCAACUGCCAUGAAUCAUGCAACAGUAGUCUGCGCUAGAAAGGAAGGAGAUCUGCACCGGACCGUCUACAGUGACUGUCCAGUGGCGCACCGGACUGUCCGGUGGCGCACCGGACUGUCCGAUGCGCCACUCGACAGAAGGCAAGGAUGGCCUUCCUUGUUGGUCUCCAACGGCUCCUAGCUGCCUUGGAGCUAUAAAAGGGACCCCUAGGCGCAUGGAGGAGUCACCCAAGCUUACAAGAAACAUUCUAAGACUCCAAGACUCCAACUUCGCGCAUUUGAUUCUUUGAGAUAGUGACUUGAGCUCCAUUUGAGUUGUGAACUCCGUGGGUUGUGUUUUGAGCUCAAGUUGUGACUUGUGUGCGUGAUUGUGCUGUGAUUUGAGUCUUGUGUGUGUUGCUCUCCCCUCCCUUACUUCUGUGCUUCUUUUGUGAUCAUCAGUGUAAGGGCGAGAGGAUCCAAGUUGUGGAGAUUCCUCGCAAACCGGAGAAAGACUAAGAAAGCAAAAAUCGUGGUAUUCAAGUUGAUCAUCGGAUCACUUGAAAGGGGUUCAGUGCAACCCUCGUCCAUUGGGACGCCACAACGUGGAAGUAGGCAAGUGUUACUUGGCCGAACCACGGGAUAAAAAUCACGUGUCUCUUGUGUGCUUUCUCUUUGAUUGUGUGUGUUCACAAGAGCUCGUUUCAAGCUACUUAGCCAUUCUAACUUUAAUAACUAAGUUUUGUGGCUAUUAGUAUUGAAUUUUACAGGAUCACCUAUUCACCCCCUUAGGUGCUCUCAAGUGUUGCCUAUCGAUGUGAGCUUAAAUGCUGUUAGGUUCGCCAGGCAAAACAAUCUAAUUGCGGUGAUUAUUAUAAUUCAAUGAUGGACAAUAUUGAUGAAGUGACCAACAAGAUAGUGAUAGCUCUAGGAGAAAUAGAGAAGGACAAGAUCAUGGCCGCCAAAGCUUAGAACAAGAAAGUCAAGGCUAAGUCGUUCCAGGUAGGAGACGUGGUAUGGAACACCGUCUUGCCACUAAGGAGCAGAGAUCGGAAGUUUGGAAAGUGGUCACCAAGCUGGGAAGGCCCUUAGACUAGCUCCAACAAGGAGCUCUAAAGGGUCCUGUACCCUAAGUUUAGAGGACGAGGACGUCAUCUACUCCCUCCAGCAACGUCCUCUAAACGGUCCUCUAAAUUUAGAGAACGCUGUUGGAUCCUCUAUAUGUAGAGUUUCUCUAAACGGUUCUCUAUCUAUUUGAAUACUUUAAACAACCGGUUUAAUAAAACUAAAAUAUGUACAAUACAUUUGAGAGUAUGACAAAUACGUAUGUACAAAAAUUAAAAAAUUAAAAAUGUCUUUAAUAUAGGUAUUUAUGUAUAGAGGACGUGAUUUAGAGGACGUUGUUGGAGAGAAAGUAGAUAUAGGAGAUGGAAUCUUUUAGAGAAGACUGUAAAGGACGGAUAUAGAUGAUGUAUAUAGAGGACGUUGCUGGAGACAGUCUUACAAAAUCACACAGGUCGAUUGAAGAACCAACAAUCGAUCAAUCAAUCAAAUUACCUUCUGUUCUUUACAUUUGCCCUAGGAGUAGACAGUAACUUAGAUUCUUCUCUCUAUCUUCACCUCUUUCCCGCUCUAUGUCGUUUAGAGGUGUCUUGGGUGGCUUGCCGAUCCCAAGACACAUCCUAGAAUCUUUCCUCCCCGAUGGAGUCCCUUCCGGGAGCGUUAUCUAGACGCCGUCGGCGAACUCCACCGGCCCUACGCACGCGCGAACCGUCCGACCAUCAGGCGCGCAUCGUCCGGCUCGUUAGGCAGGAACCAUAGCCUCUGCGCUAGGUCGUGGACCGUCCGGUCCCUGGCGGCGUACCAUCAUCGCUUUCACAGAAAGCAUCGCCGACGGUUCUCAUCGCAGUGAUUGGCGUCCGGAUUGGCGCCAAAAGUGAGUUACCAGAAAAGACGCCAAUUAGUAUUAGGAGGGCAAAUCUGCAUUAACACAAAGAACAUCGAGUUAAUUAUUGCAUAGAGAUAGGUUUUGAUACUAGGUGUUAGAAAUCUUUGAUUUGGACAUAAUUUUAGGUUCAUACAUAUUAGCUCACCCAUAAAAAGUAGUUGUUAGGUUCAAGAUUCUAAAACAUUUCUAGAAGAUGUAUACCGAAGAAAGUCCCGUAUUACCCCCCUCUCCCUGUCACCGUCAGCGCGAGUGUCAUCCUUCCUUUGUCAUAGAUAACAAGCAUGGUCCCUCAUGUACCACCUGUCAGUGAAUGCGGAAGUGACCUAACUUCACUAAGAAAAAUCAGGUCACCAUUUUCCAUCCAGCUAUGAGCCUAGUGCAGACUUCCAGCCAGAUGGAUAUACUCACGAGGAGGAAAAAGCUGUUCCUCCUUGCAUGUGUGUGGAUUUGUUUCCAUCCAAUUCUGAUGUGACCCGUCUGGCUAUCGACUUAAGAGAUUUAGCUAUUCAUAUGUGUGGAUUAUAUAUAGGUUUAAUAGUUACUACUUCAAUUAAAGUAUUUCCAGUCCUAAAGGAAAGAAUCUCUAAGCAUCUGAAAAAAAAUAAAACUCUGAGCCGUCCAAUUCCCUUCAAUUCCUAUCUAACCAAACAAGCCCUUAGUUGAUUUUUUUUUGUUUUUAGAAAUAACAAAGCAUGGUUGAUUAAUGGAAGAAAUUAGCACAAAAUAUCGCUUUCAUGGUCAAGUUUUCCUUAUCCCGCAGGGGCAGGGCACUGGGAAGGUGCCUGGAAGCAGCCCUCAUAUGCUAGCUGGAGCUGAAACCCUAUCUAUAAAGAAGGCUGAAGGCUCCACACAUACAACUCCGUAGAGCUCCCUGCUUUGUUCAGACUUCAGAGCCCUUCCUCUUGUGUCCGUGCAAAUUGGUGAUACUUGAACAGGGAUCUCCUCCAUAUUAGUGAGCAGGAUGUAUAAUCCUCCCAGUGGGCAGGACAUGUCCUACUACGAUCAUGUGCAGAAGCGCCAUGAGGAGAAGGGCUGCCUAUAUGCAUGGUAUGGUACUCGCUAACCUUUCUGUUGUUUCUGUUCUUCUCGAUUACACCCAUCUCUGUUAUACAUGUGUGUGUGGUUUUGUUAACAUAGUUUCCACCAUGAUACCCGUGAUGAAAACUAAGAACACUUUGAACUCUGAAACUUGUCUUCAUUCAUUUCUUUGGGAAACAAAAGAAGGAGGAAUCUUGUAUUGAGACUUGAUGUUAAAAGCUUAUCCGGAGUUCAGUUUCAGAAUAUUGGUUGGUUUAGUUGGAUAGAAAGAAGUGUGGAGAAUAAUUCACAAGUAUACUCCUGGCCACACGGGUUCGAAACAGCCUCUCCGCGUUGUUUGCAGAGAAAGCCUUACUUUGGUUUCUGUGUCACAAGAUCAGCCUAACAUGAACGAGAAUACCUUGGAAAGACCAAACUAGGAAGUCAUAUGCAACAUACACCUUCAUACAAACCAAUUAUUUGGAGGUCUCGUCUUCUACUUUGAAAUUGAGUUAGGAAUACCAGCCUAGGUAUAUUAGUAAAUAUUACUCAGCAGCAACUUUUGAAAAGCGGUUUGAGUUUUCAAAAGAGAAAACCAUGUACAGUUUGAGGUUUCCAGAAAAAAAUUGAGUAAACAUGAACUGGGAAGAUAUCCCUCCCAUAUGGAAAUUAAGGGAACAUGCAGUUCUGAGUUCUCCUAAGAAAACCUCCUAAAGUAUUCUUCGUGCUCGCUUUCCUCUUGGACCAUGUGAUGUGAGUGAGUUCACGGCAUUGCUAGUUUUCCUCUUCUUUAUUAGUCUUUAUUUCGGCACGUCCAUUCACCCUUUUUCUUUAGCAUCUGGCCAGCCAAACAGAGCAAGGGUCCAUGGCUAUCGUUUUCAAGGUCCCCUACUGGGCUAUAAAUCCACGACAGCGAGGCUGUGGUGCCUUUGGCUCAUGUGAAUGAUCAAACGGGAAAUGUCAAUUUGGUUGUUGCUAGUUGCUGGUCCUUUUCAUGUGACAUCUGCCUUCGUCUAGAUGCGAUGUUUGUCCUUGGUUCACAUCGCUUCUGUUGGAACAAUUAUCCUCUCGACCUUGAGCUUCAGCUAAUGAUUUAGGUCUGAGUUCAGAUUUUGAGUAGGCUGUUGGCUAAUCAAGCUUCAGUUAACAAAGGAAGCUUUUUUUCCCCCUCUCUUUUCAGCCUGUUCACUGCGUGCUGCUGCUUCUGCUGCUUCGAGACCUGUGAGUGCUGCCUCGAGGCUAUCUGCUGCUGCUGCUAGUUCUGCUUGGAGGGCAUGGGCGUCCAUCAUCGUGGAGAUGUGGCCAUGCGGGACACCCACCGCCGAAUAAAAUGCUGUACUUAUAUGCACGCACGUUAGAAAUGCAUUAGUGUCUGUUUGAUGUGAUCUUUUGUGUGUGUGUGCGCGCAUCUUCAUUUGCACUGGAAAAUGCUUUAUUAUUUGUGAAGGUCUGUAAAUCUGUUGUAUGUAUCUUGGUCAGAUGAACUCUAUUAUUGUGCCAUAUAUCUCGCUUGAUUGGACAAAUCCUUUCGAAGUUUCCUCUUGUCCUUGCUUACCGAUGGCAGGGUUAGAAGGAGAGAGUUCGAAAAACAAAAGUAUUUGUGACUGUUUAUUUUUCGGAUGCGUGAAAGCUGCAGUAACUUUAUGUUGGAAUGCAAUUCCUGCUGUCACCAGCCAUACGCAAACU
rnacentral:lncRNA from 1 species